rnacentral:lncRNA from 1 species
AAGGCAGAGACAGCAUCCCUGUGGUUGAUACCAAGAGCUCGAUAUGGAAAACUCCAAGAUGCAAGAGACUGGCUGUUGUCACAACUACCUCACUGGUGCUUAGCAUAGUGUGUAGCCCAUGGAGGAGUUACCUGGACCUGUAUGGACAAGGAAAGUGAUGGGGUCUCGCUCUAUUGCCCAGGCUGAAGGGCAGUGGCACGAUCUCGGCUCAUUGCAACCUCUGCCUCCUGGACUCAAGCGAUUCUCUUGCUUCAGCCUCCUGAGUAACUGGGAUUACAGGCACACACCAUCACACCCGGCUAAUUUGUGUAUUUUUAGUAGAGAUGGGGUUUCUCCAUGUUGGCCAGGCUGAUCUCAAACUCCUGACCUCCAGUGAUCUGCCUGCCUUGGCAUCCCAAAGUGCUGGGAUUACAGGCACGAGCCACAAAUCUUUUAUUCUUAUAAGGACACCAGUCACAGUGGAUUAGAACCCAGUCAUAUGACCCAAUUUAAACUUAAUUACCUCUUUAAAGGACCUAUCUCCAAACACAGUCACAUCAACAUAUGCGAGGUAGGACAUCAACAUAUGAUUUUUGGGGGAAGAGAAUUCAGCCCAUUAUAGUCACCAGGCAAACAGAGGCAGUAUAGACCAAGGGUUAAAUGUACUAUGUGUAGAGACAGACUAGAUUUGGAACUCUGACACUGCCACUUAAAAUCAUGUGGGCCAAUUUUUCAAUCUCUUGAUACCUUAGUUUCCUCUUCUGUUACAUAAAAAUAAAAAUAAUUAUGGCACCAGCCCUGUUAAAUGAGAUGAUGUAUGCAAAGUACAAUGUGUAGAUGUUGCCAGUAUUUAAUAACUGCCAGUAGUAGUAGCUAUUGAGUUUGUGUUGUUACUGUUGUUAUUAUUAGUUUCCUUUCCUUUUCUUUUUUCUUUUUUUUUUUGAGACAGAGUCUUGCUCUGUCACCCAGGCUGGAGUGCAGUGGCACGAUCUCGGCUCACUGCAACCUCUGCCUCCCAGGUUCAGGUCAUUCUCCUGCCUCAGCCUCCCAAGUAGCUGGGAUUACAGGUGCAUACUACCAUGGCUGGGUAAUUUUUAUAUUUUUAGUAGAUGUGGAAUUUUGCCAUGUUGGUCAGGCUGGCUUGAACUCCUGGGCUCAAGUGAUCCACCAGCCUCAGCCUUCCAAAGUGUUGGGAUUACAGGCAUGAGCCACUGCUCCCUGCCUAUUAGUUUCCGUUUCUGUAAAAUAGGGCUAAUUGAAGUGUCCACCUACUUCUUAGAGUUGUGAGGAUUGCAUGAGAUAAUGCAUAGUGAAGAGCUUAUAUAUCCCCUGGCACAGGGCAAGACCUCAAAAAAUAUUAGUUGUGGUCAUUGUCUUCAUGAGACAAGAACAAGUUUUCCAAAAUCCUGUAGCUUCCUUUCAUGCUACUAAAUAGGAUCUGACAUAGCAAAAUUGUCUGUGUAUUUCAUAAGAUGCAGAUUUUCUUAUUUGAUUAGUUUUCAAAAGAAAAGCCACCUAUUUCAUGCAGGUACUCUUAUAUCAAUUAUUAAAACCUGAAAUGAAGUAACACAGGAGCACACACAACUUAUAGCUAAAUUUUUUUUUAGCCAUAGGAAGGUGGGAUCUGCGUUCUGAAUUACAUGGUAGAAAAAUGUUCCGGUUCAAUGUGGGUGAUUAACUGUUUGAUAUCUUGUCAGGCUUUGACAGUUCUCCCUCUGUUUUACACCUCUUACUAUGUCUCGUGUAAUUAAGAAAUGGUACUGAGUUCUUGUCAUCCACCAUUAAGGAGUAGUCACAGAUAGUUUCAUAACAUCUGCUUUUUGCAACCUUCUAAUUAUCCAUAAAAAUCUGGCAGAGAGACCUGACAGUUUAUCCAGAACAUAGAAUAUGAAUGCAAAAUAAGAUCUUUGCUUCUACAUACAGAGUGAUGGUAUAAAAAAGAUACUAUCUAACCUCUUAUUUUGCAUGCAGCUAUGUUGCCUGUUUAAAUCAGAGUUAGGUGCAUGUCUUCUCAAUAAAGACUCAAUUUUAAAAAGCAUUUUUUGACAAAUUGAAUGUGGGUCAGGAAUACACUAAUGAUGCUGUGUCAGAAUCUGUUGUCAGUUGCUGCCCCAUUACUCUCCUUAGAAUCCAUUCAAAAACAGUUACUUCUCUCCCCUUAUCUGCAAGCUUUGAGCUGCCCAUACCCUGAUAGGAAGAACUGAGGAACUCCUGACUGGUCCAGAUGCUUGCCUCUAGCAAGGUCAACUCUCAGCCUCCUCUUGCUCGUUUCUGGUAGUGGGUGCCUGUCUUGUCCACCAACUUGCCUCGCUUUCUGAUUCAUUACCUGACCUUGAUUCUGGGAAACGCACUUUCUGAACUCUUACACUGUGUGUCUUUAGUCUGUUGAAACACUAUAUUAUUUUGACUUUUGGCCAUAGCAUAUCUUCUUUCUACCUACACCUUCAAAAUCCAUUUGGACCCAUAAAUAACUUUUUUUUUCCUGCCCUUUGGUUUUAAAUCCACAGAUGCCUAUCUGAACAUUUUCUUCUUCUUUUCUUUCUUCCUUUCUUUAUCUUUUUUUUUUUUUUUUUUUUUUUUUUGGUGAGACAGAGUCUCACUCUGUCCCCCAGGCUAGAGUGCAAUAGUGUGAUCUCAGCUCACUGCAACCUCCGCCUCCCCGAUUCAAGUGGUUCUCCCACCUCAGCCCCCCUAGUA